rnacentral:rRNA from 1 species
GGAUCAUUACCUGAUAGAAGCCUCCCGGGGCACUAUCCCACCCGUGUUUAAAUACUAUCGUUGCUUUGGCGGGCCGUGGCCUCCACUACGGGUUCCUACUCGUAUGUGCCCGCCAGAGGAUCAAACUCUGAAUUUUGUGAUGUCUGAGUACUAUAUAAUAGUAAAAACUUUCAACAACGGAUCUCUUGGUUCUGGCAUCGAUGAAGAACGCAGCGAAAUGCGAUAAGUAAUGUGAAUUGCAGAAUUCAGUGAAUCAUCGAAUCUUUGAACGCACAUUGCGCCCCGUGGUAUUCCGCGGGGCAUGCCUGUUCGAGCGUCAUUAUAACCAAUCAAGCCUGGCUUGGUAUUGGAGCUCGCGCUCUUGCGGCUCUCAAACAAAAUAGCAGUCUAAAUGGACCCUAAGUGUAGUAAAUCUCCUCACUUCUGGGCUCUAUGGGAGCUUGCUCAACUCUACUUUUAAGGUUGACCUC